rnacentral:tRNA from 1 species
GUAAUUAUAGUUUAACAAAAACAUUAGACUGUGAAUCUAACAAUAAAAGAUUAUACUUUUUAAUUACC